UGCCAGACUCCUACGGGAGGCAGCAGUGAGGAAUAUUGGUCAAUGGGCGGGAGCCUGAACCAGCCAAGCCGCGUGAAGGAAGAAGGAGCCAAGCGUCGUAAACUUCUUUUGUCGGGGAACAAAGGGCGCCACGUGUGGCGUUGUGAGUGUACCCGAAGAAAAAGCAUCGGCUAACUCCGUGCCAGCAGCCGCGGUAAUACGGAGGAUGCGAGCGUUAUCCGGAUUUAUUGGGUUUAAAGGGUGCGCAGGCGGCCUGUUAGGACAGCGGUAAAAGCCGGGGGCUCAACCCCGGCGAGCCGUUGAAACUGGCGGGCUGGAGUUGGAGAGAAGUACGCGGAAUGCGCGGUGUAGCGGUGAAAUGCUUAGAUAUCGCGCAGAACCCCGAUUGCGAAGGCAGCGUACCGGCUCCACACUGACGCUGAGGCACGAAAGCGUGGGUAUCGAACAGGAUUAGAUACCCUUGUA
rnacentral:rRNA from 1 species